rnacentral:lncRNA from 1 species
GCCCUAUUCCUGAUUCUCAGUAAUGUGCAAAGAGGGGCAGCUGUAGACACCGGUUUUGUCCGGAUCUACUGUUUUAUUUUAAUAAUAAUAAUAUUUAACAAAACAAACAAAAAAACAAAAAAUAAACAAACAAAAGAAACAGAAAUAAAACAAAAGUCAAGGGGUUGGUACGGCGCCGAACUGGUCCGACCAACUACCCGAUCAACCUCCCGACAAGCCACCAAUCACGGACGGUAGGUAUGAUUUUUCAGUUGAAAAAUGAGAUUCGAAUCCUAGAAAAUCUGAGAUUUGAAUCCAACAAGCUCUAUAAAUAGAGCUUGUAAACUAGACUAAAGAGAGGACGGAAAAAAAAAAAAAAGAAGAAGGCAGCUUCUGUAAAAAAAAUUCUGCAAAAACACACAAAAAAAAAAAACAACAGUCCCCUGGAACGGGGAACCCAGCGCCAGAAAGCCACCUGAAAAAAAAAGAGAGAGAUCAGCAGAUUCAAAGAAAAAAAAAAAAAGAAAAAAGAGAGACCGAAACUUUGAGCCCCGAUCUACGUCGAUCAGGGCUGUUUCCGAUAAAAAGGACACCGAAUCUGGAAAGAUCGCGUCGAAGAGAACUUCCAGAAGAAUUUUCACCUUUCCCGGUCAUCGGAAACCACCGUCCAAGACUGCCGGCGGCGAGCCAGACGGCGGCCAGCACGGUGCUCCGGCAACCGACCGACGACCUCUCCCCCAGAGCUCUCUCUCUCCCUCUCUCCCUUUUUUUUCUGAAACAGAAGCCAAAUGAACCAAAAAAAAAAAUCUUCAGCUAUAUAUAGUAAAGCAAAAUCUCAAAACGACGUCGUUUAGAUAAAGA